GGGGAGCCCGGGCGCACGGGCCAGGCCGCGGGCUGUCCCAGGGAGCCCCGAGGGCGCGGUGCGCGGGCGCAGGGAAACGUUGUGUUCUGUUAGUCUUGGAGGCCAAGGCUGCGUGGGUUUAUCUCUGUGCCCCUCUAGUGACUUCAAAGAAUGCCAAAAGUCUCUGAGUGUACGUGUGUGCACACACAGACACACACAAAGUAGGAAUCCUUUACCUGGGGGACAGAGAUUUCUGUUAUUUUUGGUUGAAUCUGACCACCCCCCAAAGCCAUUCACUACUCCAGGGGUUUCCAUGGUGACAUAAGUCAGGUGAAAUAUUAAUGGACUCCUUGCCUAUUUUGCUCUUAGGAAUGCCAUAGUCUACAGCCCAAACAGCUUGGCUAGACCAUUUCCAGAUCACUGUGCCCACUAGCUGUUGCCAAUGAUUCUGGUUGAACGUGUUCACUAGUUCUUUUGAGGUGGCUGUAGAAUAGAAUGUAAUUAAGGAAGUAUAGCCUCUUCUGUAAUAGAGUCCUGAACAGCUUUAUGUUCAAAGAGUGUGCUACUUCUGCCGUGUUACUCUGAAGGAUUAACUCUUAAACAGUUCAGCAGUUUUCAGCCUACUCUAAGCUGCCAUGGAGUAUAUGGGAAACAAUAGGAAAAAUUGGGAUUAAGACUCAAAAAUCUGGAUUAAGAAGGGCAGGCCUUGCAUGUGUCCUAGGCUCAGCAAAGGGGUAAGAACUGGGAGUACAGAAAGGCAAAAAGUUCGGACUGGGACUGGCUCUACUUCUAGGCUGGAAUACAAAACUCAUUCCCAGAGAUGGAGUCUUGCUCUGUCCAGCCCAGGCUGGAGUGCAGUGGCACGAUCUAGGCUCACUGCAACCUCCGCCUCCUGGGUUCAAGUGAUUCUCCUGCCUCAGCCUCCCCAGUAGCUGGGAUUACAGUAUGCAUUCUUAGAAACCAGAUAUACAAAGACAAGAUCUCUGCUUUCAAGAAGCUCUCAGUCUGAUUGAGGAGAGGAACAGGUAGCAAAUAACGACAGCAGAGUGUGUCUCAGAUAUGUCUUUUUAUCAGCAGUAUGAAAACUAAUACAGUAUAUUGGUACCAGUGGAGUGGGGCGCUGAUGAAAAGAUACCCGAAAAUGUGGAAGCGACUUUGGAACUGGGUAACAGGCAGAGGUUGAAACAGUUUGGAGGGCUCAGAAGAAGACCAGAAAAUGUGGGAAAGUUUGGAACUUCCUAAAGACUUGUUGAAUGGCUUUGACAAAAAUGCUGAUACUGAUAUGGACAAUAAGGUCCAGGCUGAGGUGGUUUCAGAUAGAGAUGAGGAACUUGUAGGGAACUGGAGCAAAGAUGACUGUUGUUAUGUUUUAGCAAAGAGACUGAUGGCAUUUUGCCCCUGCCAUAGAGAUUUGUGGAACUUUGAACUUGAGAGAGAUGAUUUAGGGUAUCUGGCAGAAGAAAUUUCUAAGCAGCAAAGCAUUCAAGAGGUGAUUUGGGUGCUGUUAAAAGCAUUUCAUUUUAAAAGGGAAACAGCAUAAAAGUUUGGAAAAUUUGCAGCCAGUUGAUGCAGCAGAAGAGAGAAACCUGUUUUUUGAGGAGAAAUUCAAGCUGGCUGCAGAAAUUUGCAUAAGUUACAGGGAGCUGAAUGUUAAUCUCCAAGACAAUGGGGAAAAUGUCUCCAGAACAUGUCAUAGGUCUUCAUGGCAGCCCCUCCCAUCACAGACCCUGAAGACUAGGAGGAAAAAAUGGUUUUGUGGGCCAGGCCCAGGGUCCCCAUGCUGUGUGCAGCCUAGGGACUUGGUGCCCUGCAUCCCAGCUGCUCCAGCCAUUGCUAAAAGGGGCCAAGGUACAGCUCUGCCCAUGGUUUCAGAGGGUGCAAGCCCCAAACUGUGGCAGCUUCCAUGUGGUGUUGAGCCUGCAGGUGCAUGGAAGUCAAGAAUUGGGGUUUGGGAACCUCCACCUAGAUUUCAGAAGAUGUAUGGAAUCGCCUGGAUGCCCAGGCAAAAGUUUGCUGCAGGGGCAGGGCCCUCAUGGAGAACCUCUGCUAGCACAAUGUGAAGGGAAAUGUGGGGUCAGAGCCUCCACACAGAAUCCCUACUGGGGCACCGCCUAGUGGAGCUGUGCGAAGAGGGCCACCGUCCUCCAGAUCCCAGAAUGGUAGAUCCACCAACAGCUUGUACCGUGCACCUGGAAAAGUGGGAGACCCUCAAUGCCAGCCCAUGAAAGCAGCUAGGAGGUGGGGCUAUACCCUGCGAAGCCACAGGGGCAGAGCUGCCCAAGACUAUGGGAACCUACCUCUUGCAUCAGUGUGACCUGGACGUGAGACAUGGAGUCAGAGGAGAUCAUUUUGGAACGUUGUAAUUUGACUGCCCCGCUGGAUUUUGGACUUGCACGGGGCCUGUAAUGCCUUUCUUUUGGGCAGUUUCUCCCAUUUGGAAUGGCUGUAUUUACCCAAUACCUGUACCCCCGUUGUAUGUAGGAAGUAACUAGCUUGCUUUUGAUUUUACAGGAUCAUGGGUGGAAGGUACUUGCCUUGUCUCAGAUGAGACUUUGAACUAUGGACUUUUGGGUUAAUGCUGAGAUGAGUUAAGACUUUGGGGAACUGUUUGGAAGGCAUGACUGGUUUUGAAAUGUGAGAACAUGAGAUUUGGAGGGGCCAGGAGCAGAAUGAUAUGGUUUGGCUGUGCCCCCACCCAAAUCUCAACUUGAAUUGUUAUCGCCCAGAAUUCCCAGGUGCUGUGGGAGGGACCCAGGGGGUGGUAAUUGAAUCAUGGGGGCUGGCCUUUUCCAUGCUAUUCUUGUUAUAGUGAAUAAGUCUCAGGAGAUCUGAUGGGUUUAUCAGGGGUUUCUGCUUUUGCUUCUCUCUCAUUUUCUCUUGCCGCUGCCAUAUAAGAAGUGCCUUUUGCCUCCCACCAUGAUUCUGAGGCCUCCCCAGCCAUGUGCAACUGUGAAGUUCAAUUAAACCUCUUUUUCUCCCCAGUCUCGGGUAUGUCUUUAUCAGCAGUGUGAAAAUGGACUAGUACGAUCACCCUCUUCUUUGUUCUCCUUUCUAUUUCAUCUCUAAUUUUUCUGGCAUUUGGGGGGUAUUAUACAUUGCAAAAGUUGGGGACUCACUAAUUCCACUACUCACUGCAUAUCAAGGUAAUCUGUCAGGGGUUUGGUUUUUAUAUAGGAAACAAAUGAGUCCCCAGAACAUACAAGUUAAGAUUAUUCAAUCAAGGGAGGCAGUCAUUACCCUUUAACCUCUGAAAGAAAACUGCAGGUAGGCAUCAAACUAACCCUGAGAUAGGAGAGAGUAGAAAUUCCCACACCCAGUGAAUUAUAGGACAUUAGGUAAUUAUUGGUGGGAAGUAUAUUUGGGUGGGGAACUGAAUUUCAACUGACUUUUAUCCUUGAAGAUGGUGCUUCUAUUUUCUCAAGUUAGAAGGUUAUGAAAAUUGCAUCUGAACAACAAGUUGUAUUAGUAUAAGUUCUAGAAGAAACUGAGAAAGCAAGGCUAGUCUGAGGAAAAUUUAUAUUGCUCACAUUUCCCUUCUGAAUUGGAGAAUAGAAUUGAAUAGCAAAAUUGUAACCUACCUUUCAAAGAUGUAUUGUAUAGUAAAGUAUAUUUUGUGAAUUUUUAUACCUUCUAUUCUUAUUUUUCUAUUGCCCUAUUUUAAAAUCUAUCUUGAAUUUAUUUUAUUAAAUGUAUAUGUCUCUGUGUAUA